GACGAACGCUGGCGGCGUGCUUAACACAUGCAAGUGGAGCGACGAACCAGGCUUCGGCCUGGGGCAGAGCCGCGAACGGGUGAGUAACACGUGGGUAACCUGCCUCGAUGACCGGGACAACCCGGGGAAACCCGGGCUAAUACCGGAUGUGCUGCCUUCACAUCAGUGGAGACAGGAAAGGAAGCUUCGGCCUCCGCAUCGAGAUGGGCCCGCGGCCCAUUAGCUUGUUGGUGAGGUAAUGGCUCACCAAGGCCGCGAUGGGUAGCUGGUCUGAGAGGACGAUCAGCCACACUGGGACUGAGACACGGCCCAGACUCCUACGGGAGGCAGCAGUGGGAAUCUUGCGCAAUGCGCGAAAGCGUGACGCAGCAACGCCGCGUGGGGGAAGAAGGCCUUC
rnacentral:rRNA from 1 species